GACAGAGGGUGCAAACGUUGUUCGGAAUUACUGGGCGUAAAGCGAGUGUAGGCGGUCCGAUAAGUCGGGUGUGAAAGCCCUGGGCUCAACCCAGGAAGUGCACUCGAAACUGACGGGCUAGAGUAUCGGAGAGGUUGGUGGAAUUCUCGGUGUAGAGGUGAAAUUCGUAGAUAUCGAGAGGAACACCGGUGGCGAAGGCGGCCAACUGGACGAACACUGACGCUGAGUGAGCGAAAGCCAGGGGAGCAAACGGG
rnacentral:rRNA from 1 species